AUGCUGGAGGCAGCAUUUGGACUCAGGCAGUCGAAUCCCAGAGCCCGAAUCCUGCCGUUCUCACUGUCAUCCUGGAGCUCCAGAGCCUGUGGUCACUCAGCUGGCAACCUCACAGGCAGGCCAGCCCCUCCCCAAGCUCAUUUUCCUUAUGGCCUUGCACUGACCUCAACUUUCUUGGACAUCAAAUGGACCCACUGGGCCGCUCCAGGUGUUUCCUUGCCUCCUCUUCUGAAAAUUCGGGACCGCCAUACAGACACCUCCCGGCUCUUCUGUGUGGUCAGGCGCCCUGUCCAUCUUCCUCGCGCUGACUCUCCAGACUCUUUGGAAAGAGUAAAUCCGUGUGCAGAGCACCUGGCUCCAGAGCUUUGGGGCCUCAGGCCCAGCGUGGAAUCUCGUUUCUGCCUUCUGCAGAGGGCAGCCUGGAGAGCGCCUCCCGCCACCUGA
rnacentral:lncRNA from 1 species